AGAUAGAGGAAAAAUAUCCUAAAAGCACCAGAUCCCAUCUGAAUUGGGAAGCUAAGCAGGAGCAGCCCUGGUUAGUACUGAGAUGGGAUCUGGCCCACAAAUGCUGGGAGCUGUGGGCU
rnacentral:rRNA from 1 species